GAUGAACGCUGGCGGUAUGCUUAACACAUGCAAGUCGAACGGACUCUUCGGAGUUAGUGGCGGACGGGUGAGUAACGCGUGAGAAUCUGGCCUUGGGUUCGGGACAACCACUGGAAACGGUGGCUAAUACCGGAUGUGCCGAGAGGUAAAAGAGAAAUUGCCUGAAGAUGAGCUCGCGUCUGAUUAGCUAGUUGGUGAGGUAAAGGCUCACCAAGGCAGCGAUCAGUAGCUGGUCUGAGAGGAUGACCAGCCACACUGGGACUGAGACACGGCCCAGACUCCUACGGGAGGCAGCAGUGGAGAAUUUUCCGCAAUGGGCGAAAGCCUGACGGAGCAAUACCGCGUGAGGGAAGAAGGCUCUUGGGUUGUAAACCUCUUUUCUUAGGGAAGAACAAAAUGACGGUACCUAAGGAAUCAGCAUCGGCUAACUCCGUG
rnacentral:rRNA from 1 species